rnacentral:sRNA from 1 species
GCCAGCGGUAAGAUUCCAAAGGAAACACUCUUCAUCUCCAUACCUUUCCAUCUUGUGGUUGUAACCGUCUCGACGGUCAAGAUGGUAAGGAUAUGA